AUUAAAAACCAAUGCCCUUCGGGGCUCUCUGGUGAUUCAUAAUAACUUCUCGAAUCGCACGGCCUUGCGCCGGCGAUGGUUCAUUCAAAUUUCUGCCCUAUCAGCUUUCGACGGCUGGGUCUUGGCCAGCCGUGGUGACAACGGGUAACGGAGGGUUAGGGCUCGACCCCGGAGAAGGAGCCUGAGAAACGGCUACUACAUCCAAGGAAGGCAGCAGGCGCGCAAAUUACCCAAUCCCGACACGGGGAGGUAGUGACAAUAAAUACUGAUACAGGGCUCUUUCGGGUCUUGUAAUUGGAAUGAGUACAAUUUAAAUCCCUUAACGAGGAACAAUUGGAGGGCAAGUCUGGUGCCAGCAGCCGCGGUAAUUCCAGCUCCAAUAGCGUAUAUUAAAGUUGUUGAGGUUAAAAAGCUCGUAGUUGAACCUUGGGCCUAGCCGGCCGGUCCGCCUCACCGCGUGCACUGGCUCGGCUGGGUCUUUCCUUCUGGAGAACCGCAUGCCCUUCACUGGGUGUGCC
rnacentral:rRNA from 1 species